rnacentral:tRNA from 3 species
GGGCCUAUAGCUCAGCGGUAGAGCCACCGGCUCAUAACCGGUCGGUCCCUGGUUCGAUCCCAGGUGGGCCCACCA